GACAUCAGCAAGGUGGCCCACCAGUGUAUGUAGGGCUCUUGUGUGCUUUAAAAUAGAAAGGAACGGAGAAGGUAACUGAAAACAUGAUUCAGUGCAACCAUUUUCAGUCCCUGCUGUGUGUCAUCUCCCCUCUCUGAGCCAUGCUGCAGAAGCCAGGAGAGGCUGAAGGAUCCACUCCAGCAGUGACACAAACACAAUGACAUGUUCCUUUGCAGCAGAGAGGGAGUUAACUCAUUGGGGCAUGACUGACACAUUAUGUCUUUCUACACCAGCAUUUGAAAUCGGCUUUGAACAAACAUUUUAAAGGAUGUCCCCAGUUCCUGGCUGCAGCAAAGGCCAGGUAAUGUUUGCCAGGAAGUGGAAGCUGACAGCACCAAAGGCAUUCAGAAGCUGCUAGUACAUUCUGGUGAACAAGACACUGGCAUGGGUGUCAUGAGACCUGGGGUCUAAUGCUGGCUUAUCACUUAUGUAUGACCUUGGUCAAGUUACUUCUUAACGCCUGUUGCCUCUCCUAC